CGGAGGGGCUAGCGUUGUUCGGAAUUACUGGGCGUAAAGCGCACGUAGGCGGCUUUACAAGUCAGGGGUGAAAGCCCGCGGCUCAACCGCGGAAUUGCCCUUGAGACUGUAUCGCUUGAACACGGGAGAGGUGAGUGGAAUUCCGAGUGUAGAGGUGAAAUUCGUAGAUAUUCGGAAGAACACCAGUGGCGAAGGCGGCUCACUGGACCGUUGUUGACGCUGAGGUGCGAAAGCGUGGGGAGCAAACAGGAUU
rnacentral:rRNA from 1 species